GAUGAACGCUGGCGGCGUGCCUAAUACAUGCAAGUCGAGCGAACAGACGAGGAGCUUGCUCCUCUGACGUUAGCGGCGGACGGGUGAGUAACACGUGUAUAACCUACCUAUAAGACUGGGAUAACUUCGGGAAACCGGCGCUAAUACCGGAUAAUAUAUUGAACCGCAUGGUUCAAUAGUGAAAGACGGUUUUGCUGUCACUUAUAGAUGGAUCCGCGCCGCAUUAGCUAGUUGGUAAGGUAACGGCUUACCAAGGCAACGAUGCGUAGCCGACCUGAGAGGGUGAUCGGCCACACUGGAACUGAGACACGGUCCAGACUCCUACGGGAGGCAGCAGUAGGGAAUCUUCCGCAAUGGGCGAAAGCCUGACGGAGCAACGCCGCGUGAGUGAUGAAGGUCUUCGGAUCGUAAAACUCUGUUAUUAGGGAAGAACAAAUGUGUAAGUAACUAUGCACGUCUUGACGGUACCUAAUCAGAAAGCCACGGCUAACUACGUG
rnacentral:rRNA from 1 species